UACUGCCUCUGGUGUGUGACUUUGAUCAAC
rnacentral:piRNA from 1 species